rnacentral:rRNA from 1 species
GAAGGGGGCUAGCGUUGUUCGGAAUUACUGGGCGUAAAGCGCGCGCAGGCGGUUUCUCAAGUCAGUGGUGAAAGCCCGGAGCUCAACUCCGGAACUGCCAUUGAAACUGUGAGACUUGAGGACGAGAGAGGUGAGUGGAAUUCCCAGUGUAGAGGUGAAAUUCGUAGAUAUUGGGAAGAACACCGGUGGCGAAGGCGGCUCACUGGCUCGUUUCUGACGCUCAGGCGCGACAGCGUGGGGAUCAAACAGGAUUAGAUACCCUGGUAGUCCACGCCGUAAACGAUGAACGCUAGCCGUUGGAUAGCUUGCUAUUCAGUGGCGCAGCUAACGCAUUAAGCGUUCCGCCUGGGGAGUACGGCCGCAA